rnacentral:lncRNA from 1 species
CUUAAACAGCCACGGGUGACAAUUUUAUUUCUUUCAACACAAAAGGAUUCCUUAAACAGCCACGGAUACAAUAGUAGGUACAUUCAACAAAGGGCAAUCCAAGCACGGGUAGUACAUAGGAUUGUAGCUACCAUUUCUACCAGCAGCAGCAGCAGCCGCUAGAAAAACAAGGAGCUACUACCAAGGAGCUAAACUAACAGCAACCAUCCAUCAUCAAUCGGUGAUGCUAGCAAUGAGCGAUAGCGGCGAUAUUUCAGAGACCCCCUCCCCUUGCUGCUUCUUAGCGUGUCGCGUCCCCCUACACACAAAAAAUUCAGAUGUUCAGAACAGAUCAACAUGUUGAGCAGUCAGGGAAUCAUGGAGCAAAUGUUGGUGUGGUGCAAGGCGAUAGAUUACAUGAUAAAUAUUACAGAAGAAGAAUAGUUGAACAAAUCAUGCGAAAUGGCAUGGUGGAUUUGGAAACUAACAUUCGAGCAGCAGUUUGAAUCAAUGAGCACAGACUAUACAGAUUCUAACAAGGCUACAAGGCUACAGACUUUUGAACACAAGACACCAUAAAUUUGAACAACCAGAAUAGGAAGUAGAUCAACAAUUGCAUAGCGACUAAAUUCUAAAUAUCAUUGACCAACUGGGUCGAACAAUACCCAAAUGACGCGAUGCAGCUACACAGAAACAUGGAAGAAACCAACACACAGUCCGCCAAAAUUUCAUCGCAUCACCGAGCAAACACUUAGAUCAGGCGGAAGAGACCAACACCGAAUAGAGCGGUAACAGAGAGGGGAUGGACGAGCGGGUAACUUACAACAUCACUCAAGAUACUUCCACUUCUCACCACCGACCUUACAA